AUGUUAGUUCUUGAAAUGUCUUAUUCAGUAGUUAUUUUUAAUAUUGAUAAUGAAGUGGCAACAGUGUCCAGUAAAUGGUUCAAAGAUUCAGGAUGCGUUUUGUGGCCCAACUGUAGAGUAGGGAAGAAAUUGCAAAACAUGUUACUAAACCAUGAAGAGCCAGGUGCUGACUGGAUUUCUUAUGAAGUACGAGUGUUGUCCAGUAACAUCUUAACUCUCAAAUCAGCAAGGGCAAAGGAGCGACCAGCUGAGGAAAAUUCUGAUCUUAGUUCAGCUGAAGAUGGUAGCAGAAUUAUAUAUGCCCCUAGCAGAUUUAACAGUCAAGAAUAUUGUCAACCACCAUCCAAAAUCAGCAAAUUAACUUCAAAUAGCCAUACCACUUCCUAUUUAAACAACCCCUUGAUUCCUCAUGCACCAUCACUAGUUUCUAAUCCAUCUUUAAUUCAAACUUCAGCAUCGUUUUCUAAUGAUGAUCAUAGCAUAUUUAAUACGCAAGAGUUUUUACGACCCUUAGCCAAAAAUAGAAAAUUUAAUUUUAACUGCCAAACCACUUCAUCUAAUAACUAUCCUUCAUUUCCAGAUAAAUCAGCACUAGUUCCUGAUUUUUCAAUUUCAAACUCUGUUCAAACUCCAACACCAAUCUCUACUAAUGUUCCUUGUGCAUAUCAUUGUACGCAUGUUGUUACGUGGUUUGAGAAAUUAUUUAAAGAAAUACAACAAAUGCGUGCAGAACAGACUGUGAUAAAUCAUCGUUUAGAUCAACAAUGUCAAAAUGAGCAUCAGCAUGUAGAUAGCAAUUUUUUGAAUUGUCUUCCACUUGAGAGUGAAGUUGAUUUUGAACGAUUCGGUAUAGAGAUAGAUAGUGACAAUGGAAAACGAACUUCUUUGAUACGUUAUUUGCGGAAGAGGUCAGACUCAAAUGUCAACAAGACCAUACUAAAUAUAUUAAGAAGUUUAUUAAAGGACAAUGUUCUUAGUUGUUAUUCUAGAGAUGGGAAACGCGGAAAAAAAAGUUUUUCUUCAGCAAAGGGAAACUUUGUUUCCAUAAUUCAAGAUGUUGUUUUGAAAGUUCAUAAAGGUGUGUCGUUGGUCCAAAUAAAUGUUGCGAUUUCGGAACAAUUAAAGAGACUCAAUCAAAGAAAUCGAAAUUCUAAGUCUACAACAGCUGAAGAAACUACACCUGAAAUUCCAGAGUUUGAUUAAAAACCAAUUAUUUUAUUAAUUUUAAAAUAAAUUGUUAAAAUAUAAA
rnacentral:lncRNA from 1 species